UGAGAGAGAGAGUGUGUAUUUUCUAUGGUUCUGGGCAUGGUAAGAGAAUGUGUCUGUUGUGUUAAAUUACUUGGUUUGUGGCAUUUUGUCUCUGCAGCCCUAAACUCAGUGGUUCCCAAGACAUGGAUGCCUCCCAGUGAUGAAGAAUCCAGGAUGACAAGAAUUCAGGAGCUAAGAGGAGUCCAGAGAGAUCCUGGUGACAACACAGAAGAUGAGAUUUCCUAAAACCUGUGACAAAGAGUAAAAAAGGCUCCUUAGAAACACAAGUAAUUCACAAGUGGAAGAAGCCAGCCAGCUCUUAGGCAUGUACAGUGGGAUCUAGGUCAACUAAGGUUUGUUCCUGCAGAAAGCAAGCCUCUGCACUCUGAGCUCAUGUGACUUCUCAUUGAGACAUCUGAUCUCGGAGCUUCCUGGCCAAAGGCACAGCACGCAUGGCUGAACUCUAUUAAUUCUAGCUGGAAAACCCUGCAAGGAUACAGUUAAUAUGUGGCAAUGGAAACAGUCAUGAGAGCUUCUGAGGCCAUUCCCUCUUUGCAGACAGACCUGCUGUGAUUUGACCAUGAUGUCAUCUUCUGAGUAAACUAUUCCUCAUGUAAUGCAAGAUCUGGGACCUCUGGGAAGGAUGUUCUAUUAGUCCAAACAUAGUUCCCUGAAAUGCAUGCACUCCACUGAAGAACAACCCUGUCUGAGCGUCAGGGAGACAGACAUGGGAAUCAAAGUGGCCACAAGUUUUUGGGCAGCUAUAAAUUACCUGGUCUUGAAUGAAGCAUGUCAUCUCCCAGUGUCUGCUUUCUCAUCAUCAAACAAACAAAAUACCUCAAGACAACGUCUGUUCACCACAGUGCCUGCAUCCUCCCUGCUUAGCCCAUAGCUUGGCUCCGACCCUUGGCGUUUCUGGUGACUAGCACUGGCCAUAGGGCUCACUAUCAGAGAAUAAAUGUGAUGAGAAGUGACAUGUGGCUGAAUUCAUUAUUUGUCUGCUGCUGUGAUAAAGCACCAUUACCAAAAGCAGCUUGGGAAAGAAAGAAUGUAUUGUGA